ACGCUCGACACCUACGGGAGGCGGCAGUGGGGAAGUAUUGCACAAUGGGGGAAACCCGUACGAUGCAGCAACGCCGCGUGAGUGAAGAAGUAUUUCGGUAUGUAAAGCUCUAUCAGCAGGGAAGAUAAUGACGGUACCUGACUAAGAAGCUCCGGCUAAAUACGUGCCUGCAGCCGCGGUAAUCUGAGCGGGCUGGCAAGGC
rnacentral:rRNA from 1 species